AACGCUAGCUACAGGCUUAACACAUGCAAGUCGAGGGGCAGCACGGGAAUAGCUUGCUAUUCUGGGUGGCGACCGGCGCACGGGUGAGUAACGCGUAUCCAACCUGCCCAUUACUCGGGGAUAGCCUUGCGAAAGUAAGAUUAAUACCCGAUGUUGUUAAAAACCCGCAUGAGUUUUUAACCAAAGAUUUAUUGGUAAUGGAUGGGGAUGCGUGACAUUAGGUAGUUGGUGAGGUAACGGCUCACCAAGCCUACGAUGUCUAGGGGUUCUGAGAGGAAGGUCCCCCACACUGGAACUGAGACACGGUCCAGACUCCUACGGGAGGCAGCAGUGAGGAAUAUUGGUCAAUGGACGAGAGUCUGAACCAGCCAAGUAGCGUGCAGGAUGACGGCCCUCUGGGUUGUAAACUGCUUUUAGUUGGGAAUAAAAAGAGGGACGUGUCCCUAAUUGUAUGUACCAUCAGAAAAAGGACCGGCUAAUUCCGUGCCAGCAGCCGCGGUAAUACGGAAGGUCCAGGCGUUAUCCGGAUUUAUUGGGUUUAAAGGGAGCGUAGGCGGGACGUGUAAGUCAGCUGUGAAAGUUUGCGGCUCAACCGUAAAAUUGCAGUUGAAACUGCCGUUCUUGAGUGUGCGCAGGGAUGUUGGAAUUCGUGGUGUAGCGGUGAAAUGCUUAGAUAUCACGAAGAACUCCGAUCGCGAAGGCAGAUGUCCGGAGCACAACUGACGCUGAGGCUCGAAAGUGUGGGUAUCAAACAGGAUUAGAUACCCUGGUAGUCCACACAGUAAACGAUGAAUACUCGCGGUUGGCGAUACAUUGUCAGCCGCCACGCGAAAGCAUUAAGUAUUCCACCUGGGGAGUACGCCGGCAACGGUGAAACCCAAAGGAAUUGACGGGGGCCCGCACAAGCGGAGGAACAUGUGGUUUAAUUCGAUGAUACGCGAGGAACCUUACCCGGGCUUGAAUUGCAGCUGCAUAGUCUAGAGAUAGGCUUUUCCUUCGGGACUGCUGUGAAGGUGCUGCAUGGUUGUCGUCAGCUCGUGCCGUGAGGUGUCGGCUUAAGUGC
rnacentral:rRNA from 1 species